rnacentral:rRNA from 1 species
AUUGUCUGGGGCAUAGCCCGAAGAAAUUCGGAUUAAUACCCCAUAAUAUAUUAGGAAGGCAUCUUUUUGAUAUUAAAACUCCGGUGGACAAUGAUGAGCGUGCGUCCCAUUAGCUAGUUGGUAGGGUAACGGCCUACCAAGGCGACGAUGGGUAGCUGGUGUGAGAGCACGACCAGCCACACGGGCACUGAGACACGGGCCCGACUCCUACGGGAGGCAGCAGUGAGGAAUAUUGGUCAAUGGACGCAAGUCUGAACCAGCCAUGCCGCGUGAAGGAUGAAGGCCUUCUGGGUUGUAAACUUCUUUUACUAGGGAAGAAACCUCCGAUUUCUAUUGGAGCCGACGGUACCUAGGGAAUAAGCACCGGCUAACUCCGUGCCAGCAGCCGCGGUAAUACGGAGGGUGCAAGCGUUAUCCGGAUUCACUGGGUUUAAAGGGUGUGUAGGCGGGCGUUUAAGUCAGUGGUGAAAUCUCCAGGCUCAACCUGGAAACUGCCAUUGAUACUAUUCGUCUUGAAUAUCGUUGAGGUAGGCGGAAUAUAUCAUGUAGCGGUGAAGUGCUUAGAUAUGAUAUAAAACACCGAUUGCGAAGGCAGCUUGCUGAACGAUGAUUGACGCUGAGGCA